GCCGACUUAGCUCAGCUGGUAGAGCAACGCUCUUGUAAAGCGUAGGUCGCGAGUUCGAGCCUCGCAGUCGGCUCCA
rnacentral:tRNA from 1 species